rnacentral:rRNA from 2 species
GCUUGCUGGGUGGAUUAGUGGCGCCCGGGUGAGUAACACGUGAGUAACCUGCCCUUGACUCUGGGAUAAGCCUGGGAAACUGGGUCUAAUACUGGAUAUGACUGCUCCGCGCAUGCGGUGGUGGUGGAAAGUUUUUGCGGUUUUGGAUGGACUCGCGGCCUAUCAGCUUGUUGGUGGGGUAAUGGCCUACCAAGGCGACGACGGGUAGCCGGCCUGAGAGGGUGACCGGCCACACUGGGACUGAGACACGGCCCAGACUCCUACGGGAGGCAGCAGUGGGGAAUAUUGCACAAUGGGCGCAAGCCUGAUGCAGCGACGCCGCGUGAGGGAUGACGGCCUUCGGGUUGUAAACCUCUUUUCAGUAGGGAAGAAGCUUUCGGGUGACGGUACCUGCAAAAAAACGCCCGGCUAACUACGUGCCCAGCACCCGCGGUAAUACGUAGGGCCCAAGCGUUAUCCGGGAAUUAAUUGGGCGUAAAGAGCUCGAAGGCGGGUUUGUCGCGUCUGCUUGUGAAAGACCGGGGUUCAACUCCCGGUUUCUGCAGUGGGUACGGGCCAAACUAAAUGGUGGUAGGGGAAAACGGAAAUUCCCCGGGGGAACGGGGGAAAUGCCCAAAAAU